CGGAGGGUGCAAGCGUUAUCCGGAUUUUACUGGGUUUAAAGGGUGCGUAGGUGGGUAAGAAAGUCAGUGGUGAAAUCUUCGGGCUUAACCCGGAAACUGCCAUUUGAUACUAUUUUAUCUUGAAUACUUUGGAGGUAAGCGGAAUAUGUCAUGUAGCGGUGAAAUGCUUAGAUAUGACAUAGAACACCAAUUGCGAAGGCAGCUUUACUACACAGUUAUUGACACUGAGGCACGAAAGCGUGGGGAUCAAACAGGAUU
rnacentral:rRNA from 1 species